ACCAGGGACAGGUCCUCCUUUACCUUUGCCUAGUCAGCCGCUACAGGUUUCAGAGCAGAACAGGAGAAAAGAGAAGACAUCUGGAGCUGGCGACCAGCCCUGUUAACUGGUAGGGCUAUGAUAAGCCAAUGGAGAUCCCAGAGGGAUGAGAGAGUGGAGCCCCAGAAUUAUAACACUGACUGAUACACAGUCUGUCACUGUCUUAGGUCACUCUUAGGCUGUCACCGGGGCUAGAUGAAGCUGGGCAACAUUCCAUCACAAAGAGAAAGGAGCUCAGAAGACUCUGCUCAUCCUUGAGAAAUGAUAAGCAGUUAACAGUUGCUUGGGGGAGGAGCUCACAAGGCACCACCCCUUUCUAAGGAUUGACAGGCAGGGAAUGAUUACUGUAGAAGGGCUCAUGAGGCCCCACCCAUGUAUGAGAAAUGAUAGGCAGCUAACAGUUGCUGGAGGGAGGAGCUUAUUCCCCCCUAAGCCCCACCCCUUCCUAAAGAUUAACAAGUGGCUAUGGGGAAGGGGCUUGGAUAACUCAUGUUUGCUGGGGAGAUGAUGGCUCGUAAGGCCUCUCUCCUCCUUGAGGCUUGUGAAGAUUUAUUUUGAAUUGUGUGUGUAUGCAGGCAGGCCCAUGCUCCAUGCGUAUGUAAGGAUCCACAGAGGCCAGAGGAUGGCCUCACAGAGAUGGCCUGUUCCUGCUUCCCCAAAACCUUGGAGCUAAAGACGUCCAGCUGCAGCAAACAGUCUCAACUCAUCAGCCAAUUCUCCAACCCCCAUUCCCGGGGAUUAUGGGCGUUAAUGGAACAGGCAAGAGUCUGUGAAAGGAUCCCAUCUGGAUGAAGCUUCACCAGACAGUUCAAAAGCAGGAUUGUCAUCUGGCCUCCUUGCGGUUCAGGAACUGACACCAGGAGAGAGUUCACAGCAUGUCCCAAGGAUUCUCCUGGCUCUGCUUUCCCAGCAGUGGAAUUACAACAUCAAACUGGAAUGCAUGGCUUUUUAAAUCUGAAUUGAGACCUUCAAUGAGACCUGGGCACCAAACACUUUACCAGUCCCGUUUCAUUCAUCUUGACAGCCAAUCUACUAAUAUUCCAAGUGACUAAGGGUAAGUUACAGUUUGCUCAUUUAAAGCACAACAGCGAACAUUUAAUUGUGUAAGUUCUGGCCACAAAGUCAGCUCCAAGUAUACAUACUCAUCAUUAGAAUGCAUCCAGUGUAGAAACCAAAGGCAGAUCCAAAGCAAGACUCGAUUACUGGUCUUAAGCUAAACCUACACACCUACACACACACACACACACACACACACACACACAAACUGCCCACUGUUUGGAUUUCAUGUACCUGGAUUUCAAAACGGAUCGAGUGGUUUAUAAAACGAAGACUCUACUGGACUUACUGCUGAGCCAGACAUAUAAUCUAUUUCCCAGGAGGACGCAAAGA